UACAUAGGGGGCGAGCGUUAUCCGGAAUUAUUGGGCGUAAAGCGUGCGUAGGCGGUUUACUAAGUCUGAUGUGAAAUAUCACAGCUUAACUGUGAAGGGUCAUUGGAAACUGGUAAACUUGAGUACAGUAGGGGUAAGUGGAAUUCCAAGUGGAGCGGUGGAAUGCGUAGAUAUUUGGAGGAACACCAGUGGCGAAGGCGGCUUACUGGGCUGGAACUGACGCUAAGGCACGAAAGCGUGGGGAGCAAACAGG
rnacentral:rRNA from 1 species